rnacentral:rRNA from 1 species
AUUGAACGCUGGCGGCAGGCCUAACACAUGCAAGUCGAGCGAGCGGCGGACGGGUGAGUAAUGUCUGGGAAACUGCCUGAUGGCGGGGGAUAACUACUGGAAACGGUAGCUAAUACCGCAUACCAUCAGAUGUGCCCAAAUGGGAUUAGCUAGUUGGUGGGGUAACGGCUCACCUAGGCGACGAUCCCUAGCUGGUCUGAGAGGAUGACCAGCCACACUGGGACUGAGACACGGUCCAGACGCCUAAGGGAGGCAGCAGUGGGGAAUAUUGCACAAUGGGCGCAAGCCUGAUGCAGCCAUGCCGCGUGUAUGAAGAAGGCCUUCGGGUUGUAAAGUACUUUCAGUCGGGAGGCGUUACCGACAGAAGAAGCACCGGCUAACUCCGUGCCAGCAGCCGCGGUAAUUC